AUAUCAAUAAGCGGAGGAAAAGAAACCAACAGGGAUUGCCUCAGUAACGGCGAGUGAAGCGGCAACAGCUCAAAUUUGAAAUCUGGCCCUGCGGCCUGAGUUGUAAUUUGUAGAGGAUGCUUCGAGCGUGGUCUGGUCUAAGUUCCUUGGAACAGGACGUCAUAGAGGGUGAGAAUCCCGUAUGCGACUGGGUGCCUAAGCUUGUGUGAAGCUCCUUCGACGAGUCGAGUUGUUUGGGAAUGCAGCUCAAAAUGGGUGGUAAAUUUCAUCUAAAGCUAAAUAUUGGCCAGAGACCGAUAGCGCACAAGUAGAGUGAUCGAAAGAUGAAAAGCACUUUGGAAAGAGAGUUAAACAGUAC
rnacentral:rRNA from 1 species